rnacentral:rRNA from 1 species
AUGAACGCUAGCUACAGGCUUAACACAUGCAAGUCGAGGGGCAGCAUGGUCUUAGCUUGCUAAGGCCGAUGGCGACCGGCGCACGGGUGAGUAACACGUAUCCAACCUGCCGUCUACUCUUGGACAGCCUUCUGAAAGGAAGAUUAAUACAAGAUGGCAUCAUGAGUCCGCAUGUUCACAUGAUUAAAGGUAUUCCGGUAGACGAUGGGGAUGCGUUCCAUUAGAUAGUAGGCGGGGUAACGGCCCACCUAGUCUUCGAUGGAUAGGGGUUCUGAGAGGAAGGUCCCCCACAUUGGAACUGAGACACGGUCCAAACUCCUACGGGAGGCAGCAGUGAGGAAUAUUGGUCAAUGGGCGAGAGCCUGAACCAGCCAAGUAGCGUGAAGGAUGACUGCCCUAUGGGUUGUAAACUUCUUUUAUAAAGGAAUAAAGUCGGGUAUGGAUACCCGUUUGCAUGUACUUUAUGAAUAAGGAUCGGCUAACUCCGUGCCAGCAGCCGCGGUAAUACGGAGGAUCCGAGCGUUAUCCGGAUUUAUUGGGUUUAAAGGGAGCGUAGAUGGAUGUUUAAGUCAGUUGUGAAAGUUUGCGGCUCAACCGUAAAAUUGCAGUUGAUACUGGAUAUCUUGAGUGCAGUUGAGGCAGGCGGAAUUCGUGGUGUAGCGGUGAAAUGCUUAGAUAUCACGAAGAACUCCGAUUGCGAAGGCAGCCUGCUAAGCUGCAACUGACAUUGAGGCUCGAAAGUGUGGGUAUCAAACAGGAUUAGAUACCCUGGUAGUCCACACCGUAAACGAUGGAUACUAGGUGUAGGAGGUAUUAAGCCUUCUGUGCCGUCGCAAACGCAGUAAGUAUCCCACCUGGGGAGUACGGCCGCAAGGUUGAAACUCAAAGGAAUUGACGGGGGCCCGCACAAGCGGAGGAACAUGUGGUUUAAUUCGAUGAUACGCGAGGAACCUUACCCGGGCUUAAAUUGCAGAUGAAUUACGGUGAAAGCCGUAAGCCGCAAGGCAUCUGUGAAGGUGCUGCAUGGUUGUCGUCAGCUCGUGCCGUGAGGUGUCGGCUUAAGUGCCAUAACGAGCGCAACCCUUGUUGUCAGUUACUAACAGGUUCCGCUGAGGACUCUGACAAGACUGCCAUCGUAAGAUGUGAGGAAGGUGGGGAUGACGUCAAAUCAGCACGGCCCUUACGUCCGGGGCUACACACGUGUUACAAUGGGGGGUACAGAGGGCCGCUACCACGCGAGUGGAUGCCAAUCCCCAAAACCUCUCUCAGUUCGGACUGGAGUCUGCAACCCGACUCCACGAAGCUGGAUUCGCUAGUAAUCGCGCAUCAGCCACGGCGCGGUGAAUACGUUCCCGGGCCUUGUACACACCGCCCGUCAAGCCAUGGGAGCCGGGGGUACCUGAAGUGCGUAACCGCGAGGAGCGCCCUAGGGUAAAACUGGUGACUGGGGCU